rnacentral:rRNA from 2 species
GGUGCUUGCAUCAUGAUUUACAUUUGAGUGAGUGGCGAACUGGUGAGUAACACGUGGGAAACCUGCCCAGAAGCGGGGGAUAACACCUGGAAACAGAUGCUAAUACCGCAUAACAACUUGGACCGCAUGGUCCGAGUUUGAAAGAUGGCUUCGGCUAUCACUUUUGGAUGGUCCCGCGGCGUAUUAGCUAGAUGGUGGGGUAACGGCUCACCAUGGCAAUGAUACGUAGCCGACCUGAGAGGGUAAUCGGCCACAUUGGGACUGAGACACGGCCCAAACUCCUACGGGAGGCAGCAGUAGGGAAUCUUCCACAAUGGACGAAAGUCUGAUGGAGCAACGCCGCGUGAGUGAAGAAGGGUUUCGGCUCGUAAAACUCUGUUGUUAAAGAAGAACAUAUCUGAGAGUAACUGUUCAGGUAUUGACGGUAUUUAACCAGAAAGCCACGGCUAACUACGUGCCAGCAGCCGCGGUAAUACGUAGGUGGCAAGCGUUGUCCGGAUUUAUUGGGCGUAAAGCGAGCGCAGGCGGUUUUUUAAGUCUGAUGUGAAAGCCUUCGGCUCAACCGAAGAAGUGCAUCGGAAACUGGGAAACUUGAGUGCAGAAGAGGACAGUGGAACUCCAUGUGUAGCGGUGAAAUGCGUAGAUAUAUGGAAGAACACCAGUGGCGAAGGCGGCUGUCUGGUCUGUAACUGACGCUGAGGCUCGAAAGUAUGGGUAGCAAACAGGAUUAGAUACCCUGGUAGUCCAUACCGUAAACGAUGAAUGCUAAGUGUUGGAGGGUUUCCGCCCUUCAGUGCUGCAGCUAACGCAUUAAGCAUUCCGCCUGGGGAGUACGGCCGCAAGGCUGAAACUCAAAGGAAUUGACGGGGCCCGCACAAGCGGUGGAGCAUGUGGUUUAAUUCGAAGCUACGCGAAGAACCUUACCAGGUCUUGACAUACUAUGCAAAUCUAAGAGAUUAGACGUUCCCUUCGGGGACAUGGAUACAGGUGGUGCAUGGUUGUCGUCAGCUCGUGUCGUGAGAUGUUGGGUUAAGUCCCGCAACGAGCGCAACCCUUAUUAUCAGUUGCCAGCAUUAAGUUGGGCACUCUGGUGAGACUGCCGGUGACAAACCGGAGGAAGGUGGGGAUGACGUCAAAUCAUCAUGCCCCUUAUGACCUGGGCUACACACGUGCUACAAUGGAUGGUACAACGAGUUGCGAACUCGCGAGAGUAAGCUAAUCUCUUAAAGCCAUUCUCAGUUCGGAUUGUAGGCUGCAACUCGCCUACAUGAAGUCGGAAUCGCUAGUAAUCGCGGAUCAGCAUGCCGCGGUGAAUACGUUCCCGGGCCUUGUACACACCGCCCGUCACACCAUGAGAGUUUGUAACACCCA